GGGCAUCUGAGAAAUAUAUGCAAUUAGUCAGAAAAGUUGGCUGGUGGUCAUCACACUGACAGGACAGAAGGGCCUCGGACUGCCCUCAUCACACUCUCCAUAGGAAGUCUGAGGGAGAAUGGAGACCUCCUCCCAUGUCCGUAAAUUUCCAACUGCCACCCUGCAAAAACCAGGCGAGCUGCCUUUAAACCAACAUCCAGGGGAGGAACAGCUGGAUCUUCUGUUCCAUUUUUAUUUGUCAUUAAAUUGGAUACAUUUCUAGGGUAUUGCCUCUGCAAAGAGGCGUUUUCGAAGACUUGUAGGCGAGGAAGAAGGGUGAAAAGAAAGGCCAAGAGACACCAGGGCUCAGCAGGGCCCUUCUACCCAAGUGCCCGCUCCGUGUUGUGUAAGAAGUGGCGUUCUCUCGGAAGGCACUGGUCAGCUUCCCGAGAACUGUGUAGGUAAACCUGUCGGGAGGGAACAGGCUAGAAAUAAUUUAUUUCUGCUUUAGCACUCCCUGGCUGUGCUGCUGGUAGCUCAGACAAGGCGGGACAGAGGAGCGUAAGUAAUGCACUUGUACAGCUAAUACUGUGACAUCUCAUUUUAGCUAAGCAUCAGAGUAAUUCUUGGAGCCCAGCGUAGUCCUUUUUUGCUCCAUUCAGAAAUAUUAGACUUUCAGCCAGUCUCAAAUGCCAGAGGUAUUUUGAAGGAUGCCAUAGUCACAAAAUGCCAUUUGGUCAGGUUUUUCAUUAUUACUCUACAUCCACCAAUUUAUUACCUUUUUGGCUUGUUGCAAUUUCCUGUUUACAUGUAGAGUGUAGCCAACUGUUUAAAUGUUUAGUUGCCACAGCAGCAGUGACAGCGGGGACAGGCUGUACCUGCAGGUUCGGUGGGUUCAUUCUUUUGCUUCUGUUAUGGUUUGAAUUUGGUCAAAGUCUCUGGCUUAAACUGAGCUACUUC